UGACGGAGCCCUAAGUUACGUAGAAGGGGAAAUGGAAAAAGCAACCCACAACGUAUGCACCAGACAGUUACAGGAUGAUGCGAAUCGGUUAAAAUGCAGGAAAAACCAGCAGAAGAAGGAAAGGAGGUACCUUUUGAUGAUCAGGAAGACGAUGAAGGAUGCUGGUGAUUCAGAGUGUUGAAGAACGUAGAGAGCUUUUUUGCAGAAGGAAGUCAGAGCGUUUGCGAAUACGAAGAAAAGUGAUGGAACAGUGGAGUGAAAAAUGGGUUUAAGGGUUUUUCGAAAUGGGUUUGGGAAGCACAAACGGUAACUGAAGGUAACCGUUGAUGAAGCCACGUGUCGAGCGAUGGGUGAGGGGUUUGGUGGAGCGUCAGAGAAGCAGAAAGUACAACCGCUUGGAAUUCUGCGCCAGUGCCACGUAGACCGGUGCUGACGUGACUCUUUUAGUCUUUUCGCUGGACUAGUCUUUGCUUAAGACUAGGGGGCUUGUGUACCGCCCUGGUAGUCGGAAGUGAUGACGUGGCACC
rnacentral:lncRNA from 1 species